rnacentral:rRNA from 1 species
UGAACGCUGGCGGCGUGCCUAACACAUGCAAGUCGAACGGGGUACUGGCAGCGGAGAUUCGGUCAAAGCAGCCUUAAUCUAGUGGCGGACGGGUGAGUAACGCGUGGGGAACCUGCCCUGUACUGGGGGAUAACAGUGAGAAAUCACUGCUAAUACCGCAUAAGCGCACAGCAUCGCAUGAUGCAGUGUGAAAAACUGAGGUGGUACAGGAUGGCUCCGCGUUGGAUUAGCCAGUUGGCGGGGUAACGGCCCACCAAAGCGACGAUCCAUAGCCGGCCUGAGAGGGUGAACGGCCACAUUGGGACUGAGACACGGCCCAGACUCCUACGGGAGGCAGCAGUGGGGAAUAUCGCACAAUGGGGGGAAACCCUGAUGCAAGGCGACGCCGCGUGAAGGAAGAAGUAUCUCGGUAUGUAAACUUCUAUCAGCAGGGAAGAUGAUGACGGUACCUGACUAAGAAGCCCCGGCUAACUACGUGCCAGCCGCAGC